rnacentral:rRNA from 1 species
UACGGAGGAUGCAAGUGUUAUCCGGAAUCACUGGGCGUAAAGCGUCUGUAGGUGGUUCGAAAAGUCCACUGUUAAAAAUUGAGGCUUAACUUCAAAGAUGCCGUGGAAACUUUCAAACUAGAGUAUGGUAGGGGUAGAGGGAAUUUCCAGUGGAGCGGUGAAAUGCGUAGAUAUUGGAAAGACCACCGAUGGCGAAGGCACUCUACUGGGCCAUUACUGACACUGAGAGACGAAAGCUAGGGGAGCAAAUGGG